rnacentral:rRNA from 1 species
CCUACGGGAGGCAGCAGUGGGGGAUAUUGCACAAUGGGGGAAACCCUGAUGCAGCGACGCCGCGUGUAGGACGACGGUCCUCUGGAUUGUAAACCACUGUCCCCGGGGACAACAAUGACGAUACCUGGUGAUUCCGCUCCGGCUAACUACGUGCCAGCAGCCGCGGUCAUACGUGGGGCGCGAGCGUUGUCCGGACUUACUGGGUGUACAGGGAGCGUAGGCGGGACGGAAAGUUGGGUGUAAAAUCUACCGGCUCAACCGGGAGCCGCUCUCAAAACUGCAGGGCUUGAGUGAAGUAGAGGCAGGCGGAAUGCCUAGUGUAGCGGUGAAAUGCGUAGAUAUUAGGAGGAACACCAGUGGCGAAGGCGGCUUGCUGGGCUGUGACUGACGCUGAGGCACGAAAGUGUGGGGAGCAAACAGGAUUAGAUACCCGAGUAGUC